GAUGAACGCUGGCGGCGUGCCUAAUACAUGCAAGUCGAGCGAACAGACGAGGAGCUUGCUCCUCUGACGUUAGCGGCGGACGGGUGAGUAACACGUGUAUAACCUACCUAUAAGACUGGGAUAACUUCGGGAAACCGGAGCUAAUACCGUAUAAUCUAUUGAACCGCAUGGUUCAAUAGUGAAAGACGGUUUUGCUGUCACUUAUAGAUGGAUCCGCGCCGCAUUAGAUAGUUGGUAAGGUAACGGCUUACCAAGGCGACGAUGCGUAGCCGACCUGAGAGGGUGAUCGGCCACACUGGAACUGGACCACGGUCCAGACUCCUACGGGAGGCAGCAGUAGGGAAUCUUCCGCAAUGGGCGAAAGCCUGACGGAGCAACGCCGCGUGAGUGAUGAAGGUCUUCGGAUCGUAAAACUCUGUUAUUGGGGAAGAACAAAUGUGUAAGUAACUAUGCACGUAUUGACGGUACCUAAUCAGAAAGCAACGGCUAACUACGUG
rnacentral:rRNA from 1 species